ACUAAGCAUAUCAAUAAGCGGAGGAAAAGAAACCAACAGGGAUUGCCCUAGUAACGGCGAGUGAAGCGGCAACAGCUCAAAUUUGAAAUCUGGCUCUCGGGCCCGAGUUGUAAUUUGUAGAGGAUACUUUUGAUGCGGUGCCUUCCGAGUUCCCUGGAACGGGACGCCAUAGAGGGUGAGAGCCCCGUCUGGUUGGAUGCCAAAUCUCUGUAAAGUUCCUUCAACGAGUCGAGUAGUUUGGGAAUGCUGCUCUAAAUGGGAGGUAUAUGUCUUCUAAAGCUAAAUACCGGCCAGAGACCGAUAGCGCACAAGUAGAGUGAUCGAAAGAUGAAAAGCACUUUGAAAAGAGAGUUAAAAAGUACGUGAAAUUGUUGAAAGGGAAGCGUUUAUGACCAGACUUGGGCUUGGUUAAUCAUCUGGGGUUCUCCCCAGUGCACUUUUCCAGUCCAGGCCAGCAUCAGUUUUCCCCGGGGGAUAAAGGCGGCGGGAAUGUGGCUCUCUUCGGGGAGUGUUAUAGCCCACCGUGUAAUACCCUGGGGGGGACUGAGGUUCGCGCAUCUGCAAGGAUGCUGGCGUAAUGGUCAUCAACGACCCGUCUUGAAACACGGACCAAGGAGUCGUCUUCGUAUGCGA
rnacentral:rRNA from 1 species